GGAUAUUCAGGCGGAGUCUGACCUCUGAGUAGCCUUGCUAAUAAGCGCCCUACAGUAGGCAAGAACAGGCGAGUGACACUCAUGACAAUGUUGCUCCACUAUGAUCCAUUUAUGUUGAGCUUUGGCCUAUUCUCACUGAAGAACAAGGACAGCCACACUACAACAAGGACAAGCCAUUCUACAGGAAGGACAAGCAGCUGCCAGGAGGAGAGGCAGGGGCUCCCAGUUCCCAGGGACACACAGCUAACUCAUCCCACCAUGUCUCAACUCAGAAUGCAGCAAGCAAACCUGCAUAGAUUCCCUGGGCAGCCCUCACAGGUCAGAAUUGAAACCUAAAACACUGCAUACUGCAAGUUGGCUCCUCUAGCA
ensembl:lncRNA